rnacentral:lncRNA from 1 species
AGGAUUUUAUUUUCUACACCUUCCAUGUCCUAUGCAGUAGAAAAAGGCCCAACAUAAAGCCAAAGAAAGAGUCAAGGACCCCAACAUAGACAAGUUAAAUUUCAAAACCCCUCAACAAACUGACUUUCUCGUCCUCAGACAAAAUCAUGCCUACAACAUGACGUGACAAAUAUGAGAGGAGAGGACAGACCUGGAGAGGAAAAGACUACCUGCCUAUGUGACAGACCCCUUCCAAUUAGGCUAUACUUUCCAUCAAGAAUUACUCUGGUAACCUCAAAAAAGAGGCAGUUAUUCUGUUUUUUUUUUUUUCUUUCUGAGACAUAGUCUUGCUCUGUCGCUCAGGCUGGAGUACAGUGGUG